UUUUUGGGGAGGUUGCUGGAUACAGUCCGUGCUCCACCUUUUCUGUUUCUUGUUUCUCUUCUUUUUCUUGUGGCCUCUUGUGGUACCUCUGGUGCCAUUUUGAUUUAAUACAACUUAUCUUUUCCGAUCAAAAAAAAAAAAAUCAUUAAAAUGUUAUUUUUUUUUUUGAGGAGAUCAUUAAAAUGUUAUUAUCAUAUUAUCAUAAAGAAAGAAAGAAAAUGUGGGUAAAUAAGAGGUUAGUUGUGUAAUUCGCGCGGAGGGUAAAAACGUAAACAUCCGCAUCGUGGGUGGGCAUACACGUGCACUGCUCUCAUCAGGAAUACAAUAAAUUUUUGCAGAUUCGUAUCUUACCAUUUUGCCCUCUUCAAUUUAAUAAAAUUUGGUAUUUAAAAUUUUAAAUCUUACUCCAUCCGUCCGCCAAAAUUAUGUAAAAUUGCUUGGGCACGAGAUUUAAUAAAAUUGGUGAUGAUUUUGAUGUAGUGGAGAAAGGGUCCCACCACUUUAUGAGAUGUGUGAUUGAGAUAGAAUUUUGAGUGGGUUUUUUGUAAAUAAAGAGUGUUAGUAAGGAUAAAAUAUUAAAGAGGAUGGUGGGACCAUUGCCAUAAAAGGAAAGUGACAUAAUCUUGGCGGACGCCAAAUAUAGUAAUUUUUACAUAAUCUUGGCGGACGGAUGGUACUUGUUUAUUCUUAGAUUGAGAUUAAUUUAAUAAAUGUGAUUGAUCCCUUUAUCUAAAUUAAGUCGAUCAAUUUCUUCGGAACAAAAUUUAAGAAACUAGUGUUUUAAGUAUAUUUGAUAAUAAAGUAAAUAAAUGAUUAGAUAUUUCUUAAUUUGCUUAUAUUUAUUCUAUAUAAGAAAAUUGAUCAAUUUAAUUGGAACUUACUAUGAUUAAAAAAUGAAUAUUGAUCAAGUUAAUUGGAACGGAUGGAGUAUAUAUUUUACUAAAAUUCAUUAUUUUCUUUUAACAAACAAGGUUAAUUAAAUAACCACAUAGUUGUCACUUAUGAAAUUAUAAACCACUGAUCAAAAUAAUUUAUUUAAUUUGUUCCAUUCGGACCAUUCCAUUCGCUGGAUGGCGAUUUUUUUUCACACUUAAACUAACGAGUUGUGUAUUAUCAAACUUUAAUUUUAACUUAUUUAUGUUCUAGAUUCUCAUUAAAUGAAAUUCUCUUAAACAAUUAAUUUUGAUUUUGAAAAGGUCAUGAGUAACUUGUUUCGUUUACUAUGUUUUAUAUUUAUCUUAUUGCUUAAGAGAAAAUAGCAAAAAUAAGUAACUUUACUUUAUAGUGCACACAGGCAAAAAAAAUACUAUAUACUAGUAGUAUUUUAAUUUUAUUUAUAGUUAACAGAAUACUAAUAAUUAUUAUUUCAACUUCACCUACAUGACCGUUCACGAGAUCAAGAAGAAGAAGAAGGUCCUAACUUCAUAGAGAAAGAAACAAUAGUUUCUCCUCCAUAGGUAUUCGAUUAGUCAACAAUAGGGUCUAUUGGCCUCUUUUCUUGAAGACAAAUUGUGUGCAUAAUUCAUAAAUUGGAGAGAGAGAGAGAGAGAUUGGCAUUAUUUACUCGUAUGUCAAAGAAAAUUAAUGGGCCUAAGUUAGAAGGGAAGGAAAAAUUAAUACACAAUAUAAAUAAAUGUAUAAGCUGGAAUCCAUUUCAUUUUUUGACCAUGCAUGUGAAAGCUGGAAUUGAGGUCACAAGACUCACAACUCUCAAGUCGGUUAAUUUGGCACUACCUAACAAAUCAAAUAAAAUCAGAUUAUAAUAAAGGGAAAAUGUGCAGAUAAGCCCUCCUAGGUGUAGUCCUUAUAGCUGGUGAAUCGUGAAUAAACGGGUAGAGAUUUAAUCGGUGAAUUAUAAUUAGAUUAUGAAUUUUACCUAGUGCUUGAACGUAAGGGUUGAGAGUAAAGAAUUAAAUGGCCGAGAACAAGGGAAAUUAGCUGUAGUAUUCAAGUAGAGGGAGCGUGUGUUUACAAGAUACGGAUGCAUGGGUAUUUAUAGAUUACAUGCUAGGGGUAAAAUAGUAAUUUUAUCUCUAAAAGCAUGCUCCCCGCGUGGUCAAGGGCAUAAUAGUAACUUUGCCCGUAGGCGGGCGAUUCCUCUGCUCUGGCGCGUGGGCAAAUGACCCUUCUGUCUUUAGUGACUUCUCUGGUGAAGACCAUUCCUCUGGCGAGGGUCAUUCCUCUUGCGAGGGCCAUUCCUCUGGUCAACUCAAGAAAAAUGGUGCAAAUACCCCCUCGUCCUAACCUCCGUUUUCUCACCGUUAGUCAGCAUUAUUUUUUUCUUUUAAUUUUCAGUGGGCCCCACCUUCUUCACCUUCUUGAAUACAGCCAACUCAAGAAAAAAGGGUGAAACAAUUUCAAUAGAGUUCAUCCUAAAAGACUUCAGACUCAUGUUUCCAAAUGCACCGCAUUUUCACUCCCCAAUAUCCCCUCAACAUUUUGUGCUACAAAAAUCCGUCUUAAUUCCUAGAAAUUCCAAAAAUCACAAAAUCUCUGCAUCGAUGCACACUCAAUAAUCAAUAACUUAAUCAACGGCUCGAGCAGCGCAUUUCAAAUGCAGUCUUCUUACGAAUAGCAUAGGCCACAUAAGCUGCUAGCCAACAUUUCAAUAGAAGUUGAAAACUCACACCAGCUUCAACAGAUUAAAAGAGCGCAAUCAACGGUCAACUAGCACAAAUCCAUCGCACAAAAACCAAUCGGGUCACUUACAAAUACCAGAAAACACAUCUCCCACUUUCAGAGCCGAAAUCAAAUUUACAUGCGUUGAAUCAUAGAGAAUCGGUAAAAUCGAUUUCUUCGUUUUAUUUCUUGAUUGGAUUAACUUUUCUGGAGCAGGGAUGCGGCAAGUGACUUCAGAUGAUGGUGAGCAAAUUGUUAUUGACCAGUACUGGGACUAUCUUACUUCAUUGCGAAGAACAGCUGCGGCGCCAAAGGCGCUAACAUGCGCAGCGGCGUGUUUAAGAGUGAUGAGGAGAUGGCAAAUUUUCAGCGCGCUUGCAUGAUCGACAAAUAGAUGGAGAAGAAGAUGAUCGAGAAGGCCGUGGGUCGGAGGAAUUCCGUCACCGAUUUUCAGGUGAAGAAGUCGCGCAAAGAUCGCGAGAGUUCCAGCUGGAGCUCCUCCUGUUCGAGCUACGCGACCGCCGUCGGAUUCUUCUUCUCGUUGGAGGUGGAGUCAUUCCAGGUGCAGCAGCCGAAGCUGAUACGAACGGGGUUCGAGAAGGAGAAAUUUGGCGGAAAUCGCCGCAAAUUGGAGCUGAAACGUAAAAUCGAAGGCGGAUUCUCCCAUUCAUGAAUUGUAAAUAAAAUACCUGUAAAUCAGAUAGGUAUCUACCAUUGCGGCUUCCAGGGGCGGAGCCAGGAUUUUUUUUGGGGGGGGCUGAACUGUUACGGGGUUCGGGGCGGUAGGCCCCGAUUUUUUUUUGGGGGGCAUUCAAUACAUUUUAGACAUUUUUUACUAAAAUACAAAUAUAAUAAUAAUAAUAACAACAUUUUCAUAGAUAAUAUAGUUCAAAACAUUUACUAAAUUUUUUUUGGGGGGCAUUCAAUACAUUUUAGACAUUUUUUUACUAAAAUACAAAUAUAAUAAUAAUAAUAACAACAUUUUCAUAGAUAAUAUAGUUCAAAACAUUUACUAAAAUUUUUUUUGGGGGCAUUCAAUACAUUUUAGACAUUUUUUACUAAAAUACAAAUAUAAUAAUAAUAAUAACAACAUUUUCAUAGAUAAUAUAGUUCAACAUUUACUAAAAAUUUUUUUGGGGGGCAUUCAAUACAUUUUAGGCAUUUUACUAAAAUACAAAUAUAAUAAUUAAUAAUAAUAACAACAUUUUUAGACAUAUUAUAAAAAUAAAUAAAAANAGCGUAUAUCUCCUCAUUCUCACUAGUGUAGCCCUUAUAGCGUAUAUCUCCUCAUUCUCACUGUGUGUGCAACUAAACCCCCAACUCAAGAAAAAGGGUGCAAAUACCCCCCUCGCCCUAAUCUCCGUUUUCUCACCGUUAGUCAGCAUUAUUUUUUUAUUUUUAAUUUUCUGUUGGGCCCACCUUCUUCACCGUUAGCUUUUUGUUUACUUUUGAAGUCUAAACUAUUACUUUAUGGUUUAAGGGGCUUGGCAUGCGGCAAGUGACUUUAGAUGGUGGUGAGCGAAUUGUUGAUGCCCAGCCCGAUGUUGAGGGUUUUGAAGAUGUUGAAGAUGAGGAGGAUGAGCUAGCUUGCAUGGUUUGCCGCGAGGGCUACCGAUUGAGACCUACAGAUUUGUUGGGUGUUUACACUUACAGUAAGCGUGUGAAUUUGGGUGUUGGAACGUCAUGAAGUGCCCGUGGUGAUUGUGUUUAUACAACUGUCAGCCAUUUCAAUAUCAUACAUUUCCAGUGCCAUCAAGAAGCUAAACGAGCCGAUGCUGGCCUAAGAAAUCCAAAGAAGGAAUGGGAUGGUGCAGCCUUGAGGAACAAUGAAACUCUUUGUAAUAAUUUGUUUCCCCUGAGAGGACCCUCUGUUCUGAUGGGACAAUACUUGUGUUAUGUUGACCAGUACUAAGACUAUCUUACUUCAUUGCGAAGAACAGCUGCGGCGCCGAAGGCGCUAACAUGCGCGGCGGCGUGUUUAAGAGUGAUGAGGAGAUGGAGAAUUUCCAGCGCGCUUGCAUGAUCGAGAAAUAGAUGGAGAAGAAGGUGAUCGAGAAGGCAGUCGGUCGAAGGAAUUCCGUCACCGAUUUUCAGGUGAAGAAGCCGCGCAAAGAUCACGAGAGUUCCAGCUGGAGCUCCUCCUGUUCGAGCUACGCGACCGCCGUCGGAUUCUUCUUCUCGUUGGAGGUGGAGUCAUUCCAGGUGCAGCAGCCGAAGCUGAUACGAACGGGGUUCGAGAAGGAGAAAUUUGGCGGAAAUCGCCGCAAAUUGGAGCUGAAACGUAAAAUCGAAGGCGGAUUCUCCCAUUCAUGAAUUGUAAAUAAAAUACCUGUAAAUGAGAUAGGUAUCUACUAUCUACCAUUGCGGCUUCCACCCAUAAUAAUGUAUAACUUCUCUCCAAACACUGUUGCAGCAUGCUGUACGUGGCAGGAACAAAUAUUUAGAAAACAAGUGCAUUAAAAAUAUAGUAAAUAGUAAUUAAAUUUUACAAGUUAACAGUUUUAUCAAGAAAAGAAAGUAGCAUAAUAUUUCAAAAAAGAAAAAAUACCUAAGUUGAGAACUUGAAGGUCCAUGGAAUUUAAUUUUCAAGUACAACCCCACCNNNNNNNNNNNNNNNNNNNNNNNNNNNNNNNNNNNNNNNNNNNNNNNNNNNNNNNNNNNNNNNNNNNNNNNNNNNNNNNNNNNNNNNNNNNNNNNNNNNNNNNNNNNNNNNNNNNNNNNNNNNNNNNNNNNNNNNNNNNNNNNNNNNNNNNNNNNNNNNNNNNNNNNNNNNNNNNNNNNNNNNNNNNNNNNNNNNNNNNNNNNNNNNNNNNNNNNNNNNNNNNNNNNNNNNNNNNNNNNNNNNNNNNNNNNNNNNNNNNNNNNNNNNNNNNNNNNNNNNNNNNNNNNNNNNNNNNNNNNNNNNNNNNNNNNNNNNNNNNNNNNNNNNNNNNNNNNNNNNNNNNNNNNNNNNNNNNNNAAAAAAAUAACCUAGUUGAGAAACUUGAAGGUCCAUGGAAUUUAAUUUUCAAGACAACCCCACCCACGUACAACAAAUAUUUAGAAAACAAGUGCAUUAAAAAUAUAGUAAAUAGUAAUUAAAUUUUACAAGUUAACAGUUUUUAUCAAGAAAAGAAAGUAGCAUAAUAUUUCAAAAAAGAAAAAAUACCUAGUUGAGAACUUGAAGGUCCAUGGAAUUUAAUUUUCAAGACAACCCCACCUUGUUAUUUCAAAAAUAAUUAACUCAAGUCAAUGUGACGUGAUCUUUAAUUUUUUUAUUUAAUAUUGUUAAUUUAUAAAAAAAAUUAUGUCAAUUAUUAUACUCCUAUUAUUUAUUUAUUUUUGGAAUUACAUUAAUAUUAAUUACUAGUUUUUUUUUUGAUCGGGCAAAGUCAUGUUAGAUGUUAGUAAUUAGUUCCCCAUCCACACCAAGAACCACCUUAUCUCUCCAUUCACCAAGAUCCACCUUAUAUCUCCCAUCUCCAAUUCGCUCCCAAGAGGGAUCGAACUCGGGUCACUUCACUUAAGUGAGGACCCGGUGGCCAGUGGGCUAAUUACUAGUUAGCAUAUUCUUCCGUAUCAUACACAUGAAACUUUUUUAUAUUUAAAUACUAUUUCAAUUAUCACAUAAAAAUUAUACAUACAAUAAAAAUAUAAUUUUAGUUGAAUAUAAAUUUAAAAAAAAUAAAGAAAAACUAACAAUAAAAGAAUUGAUAUUAUGAAAAGGCAAAAAAAAAUACACUAUACAUUAAAAGAGAAAGAAAGAAAAAAAAAUAUAAAAGAGUUUGGAUAAUGGACUUAUUCAGAUGAAAGAUGAGAGAUGAGAAAUAAUUUUUUUUAUGUUAAUAUUUAAAUAAAAGUAUAAUUUUUUUAUUUUAAAUUCAAUAUUUACGUAAAAUAUAUCAAAUGAAAGCUUUAGUGGUGAUCUUUAAUUUGAUAUACAUAUAAGAUAUCUUAUAAUUAAUCAAUUUUUACAAUUUUAGAAAAUAAAUAAACUAUUAAAAUAAAAAGAUAAACAAAAAAGGAAAUGAAAAAGGUACUAUAGUAUACAAAUAAACAUUCAAUUUUUAUAUAAUCGCAAUUAAUUAACUUUUAUUUAAAUUUGUACCACCUUCCAAACUCCAAAGUAUGUGUUUAUGGCGUCAUUAAUUAAAUUAACGUGCCUUAUAUUCCUAUAUAAAUGGAGGUGGUCUCCUGUAAAAUCGGUUUCAUGGUGAAACCAACUUCAUAAUAACACUACUUCAACAUACAAAUGUUAUUUUAAAAUAAUAAAGUGUCAUUUGUAUGUUAAAGUAGUGUAAUUGUGAAACCGUUUCAACAUAAAAUCAAUUUCACACGAAUUUUGUGAUAUAAAUGACACGUGCGUAUAAUACGACAUAAUUAGAAUAUAAAAUUUUGUUUGUUAACUGUUUGAUUUGUUAUUUUCGUGAGGCGAUGGUUCGGCUUGUUGUUUUUAGUUGUUUUGUGUAUAAAUAUGAAUGCAAUUUAUUCUUUUUGAAAAUAUGCAAAAUUUAUGCCAUAUAUUAUUUGGUGUUAUCAGUCUGAUUGGCCACCAAGCACAAACAAAUGCCGUGAUUGGUGCAUGCCACGCCCAAAGUCGUCCAAAACAAAACAUCUCAAAGCAUCUACUAUGUGUACGUAAUAACUAUUUUCUUUUUCAACUAUCUCAUUAUUUUCCAUUAUAUUACUACCUCGCGCAUUUAACUAUUUAUAUAUAUAGACCUUAUAUAUAUAAAAAGGUUUAAUGAAAAAAUGCAAACAUUAAAAGAAAAAGAGAAACAAUCAUAUUGCAACCAUUAAAAUAGCUCAAUCAAACUGUCAAUAAUUAAGAAUAAAUUCUGUGCCCAAAUUUUGAUGAAAUAAAAUAAUUGUAAUGAACAUGUCAAUAAUUUUUUAUGAAUCACACUCCAAAAUUCGAUCGUCAAACGUUCAAUAAAAUUAUUGGUAUAUUCAUAAAAAAUUAUUAACAUGUUCAACGUUUCUAAAUUUCGACAAAAAAAAAAAACCAAUUUCUCCAUAAAAUAUAUAUUUUUUUUUUUAUAUAUUACUUCAAUAAAAUUAAUCUAAUUACACUAAUAUAAUUGUAUUUUAAAAAAUUAAAAUUCAAACGUACAUUUUAUUGAAAAACAACUUCAUACAACAAAAACUAAAAUCAUAUUUAAAAAUAAAAAUAAAAAUACAUACAACGUAUUAAUUUAAAUACAAAACGAAAACGCAUAAGAUAAAUGGAAAAGAGUGAUUUUUGGACAGAAACCAUAUAAAUUUGUUUCCGUAUAUAUAUAUAAAUAUAUUAGACCGUUAUUUAUUUUAUUCAUUACAAUUAUAAAGUUAGAAUUGAUUAUCACUUGGAAAGGUAAAUAAGAAAAAAAAAUUAAAGAACAAAACCCCUAAUCUAGCCAAAACCUUUUAAUUAUAGGAAAAAAUGUUCAUGAUGAAGAUAAAAAUAUGGAAAAUGUGGCCUUUUUAGUGUUAAAAUGACAGAGUUACCCUUAUUAAUAUAUUUUGAUUAGUUGAUUUUUUAUUAGUUUCGAAAAUAGCACAAAAUAGUACUCCCUUCGUCCACUAAUUCAAGGCCUACUUUCCUUUUUGGUCCGUCCACCAACUCAAGGCCUAUCUAUUUUUAGUAAGUUUUUAUUCAUAUUUUAAUUGGUGGGUCUCAAUAAUCAAUACAUUUUUUCUCCACUCAACUAAUAAGUAAUACACUUUGUGGGUCCCUUUCUCCACUCAAUCAAUAAACAAUACAUUUUGUGGGUCCCUUUCUCCACUCAACUAAUAAAAAUACACUUUUUCUUAAAACCCGUGUUUUUUCAUGUAGGCCUUAAAUUAGUGGACGGAGGGAGUAAAUAAAAAAAGUUAAAUCAAAAAGCAAAACCUAGAUUUUGGGUGAAAUCAUAUUUUGGAUAAAAAAAAAGUUACCAACUUCUUCCCCAAAUUCACACCGUCUUCGGCGGACCUUAUUCCGGUGGUCUCCCGACAAUCUUGCUUCUCUUCCUCUUGUUUCCGGUAAGUCACUACCUCCUAAUCUCAUAUAUCUAUUGGGUUUUUCGAACUAUGUUCAUGGUUACACGAAAAUGUGCUUGCUUACACACAAAAAUCAAUGAUUACACACAUUAUCGAUAGUUACACACAUUAUUCGAGCGUUACACACAAUUUUGGACGAUAAUAUGUGUAACAGUGUAGUUUGAACCAUUACACACAUUUGUGGUCGAUAAUGUAUGUAACAGUGCAAAAUUAACCACUACACACAUUAUCAACGACAAUAUGUGUAAUAGUGCAAAUUGUGCAUUGUUACACACAUUACCGUCCACUACAAGAAAUUCGCUCAUACUUGACGGUUUUUCACCGUCAUCUAUGGUAUCCGUCGACUGUCAAGUAUAGUGGUGUCAUGUAUAGUACCUAGUAUAGAUGACGGUUUUUGACCGUCAUCUAUUCUCAUUAUUCUUGACGGUUAUGUAUGUAUUUAUGACGGUUUGUAACCGUCAACUAUGAUGUAAUACUUGACACUCAUAAUAUUUUCUUGACGUUUUCGGACCGUCAAGUAAAAUAGAAUACAUGACGGUUAUUGGUAUAUAUUUGACACUUUCUUACCGUCAUGUAUGCAAAUUUUCAUGACGUUUCUAUGUUUAUACUUGAUACUUUGCAACCGUCAUCUUUGACCGAAUUUGUCAAAGUUAGAUACCAUAUAUGACGUUUCAAGAACCGUCAUCUAUGCUCUUUCAAAAUUUAAAAUAUCAUUAAAUUGUUUAUAAUAAAUUUACACAUAUUGAAAAUAUCAUUUAAUCAUUGAUAAUAAUCAACCAUCCAACAUCCACAAAAGAUCCAUUAUUUUACAACAUCUCCAACAUCCAUACAAAAAACUACAAGUCUUCAUUCUCAACACUCCCACCUUGCUUUCUUUAAGUCUUCAUUCCCACCUUGCUUUCUUUAAGUCUUCGUUCUCAACGGUCUUGUCUUUUUUCACUCUAGCUUUCUUCUGCAUUAUAAUCCAUUAAAAGAGGAUUGAUAACUAAAAGAAUGUGCAUGUUCAGCUAUGUCUAUAAUUACAUUCUUUUGCCUGAUAGCAUAUCUCAUCUACCAUAACUCUCAUACUCUCCAUUAACCUGCAAGUAAAAAAUAAUCAUUCAUGUAAUAUGGUUCUAUCUAGUGAAAUAUUUUCCCAAGUUGUUAGUAAGCUAUUUCAAUGUGAUGCUCAUCAACAAUAUGAUCCACCAUCUCUACAGACUUAUGCUCAUGAGACCUAUAUACAUCAUUAUAACAGUUUAAUUAAUCUGAUCAACUGGAAAGACAUUAUUCUACAAAAAGUGCAGUUAGUCAUGCAAUAUUACCAUUCUGAUCCCACAAAGACCUUGGGAAGAACAAGAAGCUUUUCUUGGUUAGUUUCUGCAGCAAUAAGCUUUGAACCUGUGCAAUAAAAGAACACAAAUGAGCAAAUUUAUUAAGCCAUCAGAUAAUCCUAGCUAAUAUCAAUUUUGUAGGUCCACCACAUAUAAUAUUUUCAUUAUUUUUAUUCUUUUUAUUCUUUUAUGCUCGAUGGCCAAGGGCAGAUGCAGGAAAAUAGUUUCAGAAACUAAAUUUGAAAAUAAUCUAGUCCACUCAAUAGCUGCUUCAUGUAGCACUUCACCUAAAACGAGUAAGAAAUAAACGGACAUCAAAACAAGCAGAUUCUUCCACUUAGUGCUGCAUCGUAAUGCAGAUGUUAGAAAAAUCACCUGUGGCUCUGUGAACUUGACACCGGGUAGUGAUGCAAGUCCGGUGAGAUCAUGUUCCAUAUAUUCAAAGACAAGAUAUAAACUCGAAGACGUUCUUGAAGUGACCAAGCCUUCCAGCUUGAUAAUAUUCGGGUGAUCAAGCCUUCGCAGAAUGAGAAUCUCCCUCGCCAUAAAUUUUACGCUUUCAGGAUCCAUAUUAUCGAAACGUACUUUCUUCAGAGCCACGUAUUUAUUAGUCAGGAGAUCCGGCCCUUAUAUACGCUACUGUAAGUACCUUGGCCAAUCUGCAAUAACAAAAUGCUAUCACAAAAGAACCAAAACCAAUCAUAUAAGCAUAAAACUGUCAUUAAAAGAGAAACUUAAAUUCAGCAUUCGUAGCAACAAUAGUUAACAAAAAUUAGGGAAAUCAUCUACUUUUAUAUUGAAGAAAUGGCCAAGACGAGUCAUUAAACAGGCUAACACAAUUACUUAAAAAUUCUUGAACCUAAUCUUCACAUCUCACUCUGAUCAUGCUUCCAAAUCUUGUUGCUAAUCUUCUAACAACGAGAAAAUAUCAUCCACAAAAUCAAGAACGAAUGCACAAGCUAUCACAAGGAUACUCUAUACAAAGUCAAAACUACCAUAAAUCCCAGAACACAUAUACCAUCACAACUUUAAAGAAGAUCAAGACAUCUCAAAUUCAGCAUUUAUAGCAAUAAUAGUUCAACAAAAUUAGGGAAAUCGUCUACUUUUAUUUUGAAGAAAUUACCAGACGAGUCAUUAAACACGUUAGCACGAUUACUUAAAAACUAUUGAUCCUGCUUUCUAAUCUUGUUGCUAAUCUUCUAACAACCGGAAAUAUCAUCCACAAAAUCGACAACGAAUGCACAAUAUCACCCACAAAGUCAAAACUAUCAUAAGUCCCAAAACACAUAUACCAUCACAACUCUAAAGAAGUUCAAAGACAACUUAAAUUCAGCAUUAUAGCAAUAAUAGUUAUACAAAAAAACAGGCACUUCAUCUUUAUUAAACAGAUUAAACACAACUCUUGAACCUAUCUCACGAAGAGAAUUAACCAGAUGACUUAGAGCACGAGUCUCACGAAGAGAAUUGUCUAGUUUCUUAUCAUUGUCUUCUUCGUGGAGCUAAACUAAUUUAUCAUCAGAGAAUUGUCUAAAUCUAUCAAAGAAUACAAUUAACAACACUCUAUCAACGAUCCAUGAUCUACAUAACAACAUUGAUUCAAAACCUAAUCAAGCGAAUUCCAACAACAAAGCAUAAAUCAGGAAAAAAACCAAGCAGACAAAAACCCUAGUAAGAAGAAUCCAUGAUCAACACAAUCAAGCAUUUCAAUCAAAUCAUCAUGAUUUCAAAUUCUCGAGCCAAGUUCACUCACUUCUUGUGGCAGAGACUGCACUUAGGGCCCUAACCUUCCAACUUCGAGAUAGGGCAGCUGCAACGGAGGCAAAAGUGCAGCACAGCGAGACCGUUGAGCAGCGCCAUCUUUCGAAGGUCUGCGAGGAGGCACGGUUUGUCGUCGCCGUCGCCCCCACUUCAAUCCCCUGCAUCCGGCGCAGGGAGGAGAAAUAGGGAAGGAGGAGGAAGAUGGACUGGAAGAGGUAGGAGAAAUAGAGGAAGGCGCCGGAGGGGGAGUGACGGAGACAGAAUCGAGGGCUUCGGCGUAGAGCAGCGGAGGGCAGCGAUGAGAAGGCGUCGACGACGAGCAGUUUCGUCCUCUCUCCGGGUGGUGGCAGCGGCUUAGAGGCAGCGGGGGUGGUGCUAGCAGAGGAGGGGUGGCGGAAUACUUUAGCUAGAACACGAUCUAGCGCGGUCCUCGGCGGCGCAACAGCGACCAGAGAAAGGGCGACGAGAAUCCCGGCGAGAGGGCAUCGAGAAAGGUAGCUAGGGUUUGACGGCUUCGGAAUGGAAGUUUCAGAGCAGGAGAGAGAGGUGUGAGGGGGCGGAAGGGUGAAUUUGAGAAUGAAUUGAAAUUAGAGUGUUAAGUUCAUUCUUAUGUUUUGAAUAUUUAAAAUAUCAAAACUUAUUUUAAAUGAUAAAUAAAAAUCAUUAUAAUAUACAUUCAGUCAUAUUUUAAUAUUCAAAAUAUGAGUUUUUUUAAUUAAAAUUAAAUAGUAUUUUAAACUAAAAUUACUUUUAAAUUUAUCGAAUUAAUAAUAAGAAAACAAUAAAAAAAAAUUAAAAAUUAUGCUAGAGGUCAAGUGUUCGAUUCUUGAUCCUUACUAUUUGUUAAUUUUUUUUUUUUUAAAUUAUACUUGAUGUUUUAUAGAAAAUAUCAAGAAUAAUAGUAUAAUUAAUGAUAGUUUGUUUACUAAUAUACAUGUCAAUAUAGAAAAUAUCAAGAAUAAUAUAAUUAAUGACAAUUUGUUUACUAAUAUACUUGACAUUUUAUACAAAAUGUCAAGAAAAAUAAAAUUGAUGACAGUUUAUUCAACAACAUACAUGACAAUUUGAUUAAGUGUCAUGUAUUGCCUUUAAAUUAACGCACAUACAUGACGCUUUGUAAUGAAUGUCAUCUAUGCUAUGAAUAAACGACGCUCAUACAUGCCGUUUUUUCUAAAAGUGUCAGCACAACGUCAUGUAUAGAAUACACGACACUGCAUACAUGACGUUUUUUUUAAAAAUCGUCAUGUAUUCAAAAAAGGCGCUCAUACAUGACGCUUUUUAAUGAAAAGCGUCAUGUAUGCAGUGUCAUGUAUACUCAAUUUUCUUGUAGUGGUCCGAAAUUGUGUGUGACAAUGCAAAAUGCUUCAUUUCACACAUUAUCGACCACAAAUGUGUGUAAUGGUUCAAACUACACUGUUAUACACAAUUUCGUACGACAUUGUGUGUAACGCUCGAAAUUUGAACUAUUACACACAUUGUCGUACGAAAUUGUGUGUAACGCUCGAAUAAUGUGUGUAACCAUCGAUAAUAUGUGUAAUCAUCGAUUUUUUGUGUGAAAGCACUGUUAUUACACUGUGUACAUUGUGAGGAGUCAGGCUUGAGGCGGCGUUCAUGCUUGAAUCUACGGCGGCGGCGUCUGGAAUGCAGUGGGCGUCUAAUACACGGCGAUUUUGUCUGGAACACCAACGCCGGGCCGCAGUGGGUGCGGCACCGUCUUCUUCAAUCCACAGCGCGGGCCUUGGCAGCGUCUUCAAUCUGCAGCGGGGACGACGUCGACGUCUGGAAUGCCUUGAAGGCAGCGGCGGCGCACAUCUGCUUCAAACAUAUAGGGAAAAAACGUCGCCGGUGUUUGCUUGAGGCAGAGGGGACCGGCCUUCCCGAGAACGACGACGGAGUGAGAUAUGGCGCUGACGACGACGAAGUGACGCUGUCGACGUCGGAGGCGUGAAAAACGUCUCUUCACUAGGGUUUGAGUGGGUGAAUUUUGACUAUAGUAAUUUGAUUUGGUAAUUUUGUGUGAGGUGAUUUUAUUAUUUUAAUUGAUGGUAAAUACUACUUAAUUUUCAGUUAUUUAAAAUUUUAAAAAUUUGAAAUAAGGGUAAAAAAGUCAUGAAAGCUACAUUUUUCAUAUCUUUAUUUGGGUAGACACUUUUUCCUUUUCUUAUACAAGAAGGGCUAAUUGAAUCCAUUAACUCAAAAUUAAAUGAACAAAUGUACAAGUCUCAUUCACGGAUGUGCUUCAAAUUGGGAUGCACUCUACCAAUUUCAGCAUUCCAGAUUUUAUUUGAUUAAUUUGGUGAUGGAUAUUAAUUAUGUUUUUAAAAAAAUAAUUCUAAAAUAAAAUAUCAAAAUAAAUAUUUUAAUAUAUAAUAAGUAUCAUAUUACCUCAAAUGAGAUAAUAUUAUAACUAUUAAAUUAAUAGUUACUACAACAUUUUAUUUUUGAGAUAGGACUGGUAAACGAGUCCGUUUGGAUUAACUAGCCCUAGCCCAUAGUUAGAUAAGGACAAACGUGGUCAUCUCUGUCUCUCUAUCUAAAUAACUAGAACGUCCAUUCGUGCGAUGCACGACGAACAUCGAAAUUAACUGACAUGUUUAAAUAAUAAUAAAAUAUUAAAUAAAAUUAAAAUAUAAAUAAAUAAAAAAUAUAUUUUAAUAAUAAAAUAAUCCACAUCAAUACUCAAUAAAAUCUUGAAUUUGAAAUGUAUAUUUUCAACUUUGCUUAAAGUAUACGGAUAAUUAUAAUUAUUAAAUAAUUUGAUAAUGAAAAUUGACAUUACACAUUAUUAUUAUUAUUAUUAUUAUUAUUAUUAUUAUUAUUAUUAUUAUUAUUAUUAUUAUUAUUAUUAUUAUUAAUCAAUAUUUACAUACACAAAUAUAAAUAAAAAGUUGUAAAAUAUUAAUGAAGAGAGAAAAAAUCAAAUAUUUUUAAUUUUAAUUUUUCAUAAUUUAUUCAUUUUGAUGAUUUUUUAGCAUAUUAAUGAUUUUUUCACGAACUUAAAUUUAAGAUGUAGUAUAUUAAGUAUUUUUUUCAUGAAUUAAAUUUGAUGAUGUUUAGAAAAAAAAAAUAGAGAGAAAAUAGUGAAAAAAAAAUCAGUGAAAGAAGAGAGAAAAAUGGAGGGAAAAGUUGGGAUGAGAUCCAAUGUCCCACAAUUUUAUGUGUGCCACUAUGUCUCAUGCUUAUAUCUAUUAUUUUGAAAAUAUAUUUUAUAAAAAUAAAAUUUAUUAUGAUACUAUGAAUUAUAUUUAAUUUUUAUUUUAAAAAAUUAGAUUUUUAAAAAAAAUAUAUACCAUGACUUUGAAUUUAUCAACCUAUUAUUAGCUAAUAAAAGUGAAAUUAAAUGAUAAAAAAUAAUUAUAUACCCUAGAUUGAUGGAAUAAACCCUAGUUAAUAAUCACAAAAUUAAACUAAAGAAUAUAAAGUUGAAAUUGAAGAAAAAAAUAUAUAAAAAAAUAAAUAAAAUUGAAAGUGGGACACAAAAUGAAACAUAGAGUGUGGUACAUUGAAUCUCAUUCCGGAAAAGUUGGAGGGAAAAAACUCCUCUUUUAUAUAUUAUAUAGAUUUCAUGAUUUAUUAAUGUUGACAAUUUUAAGGAUCAAAAUGUUAGACUCUGUGUUUAUAUUAAUUUAAUGGUAAUAUAGUUAAAAUUUACGUACGAUUAAAAAUCUCACAUUCGAAUCUAGCUAUUUUUAAAAUUAUUUAUUCUUUAAAAAAGGUUAUAUUUAAAGAAGGUGUCCCCCUUUAAGAGUAAAUAAUAUACAUAUUAUAUAUGUCAUGAAAUUGUAUAUAUUAUAUAAACGAAUUAAAAAUAAUUAUAUUAUUACAAAUUAGAUCAAAUAUUUAAAUUAAUACCCAAACAAAAUACUUCCGCACCGUAGGUGUCCCCUUUUCUGAUAAAACGUGCUUUGCUUUCUGUAUAUUGUCCAAACCAAUUGGUAAAAAACAAAACGGUAUGGUAAUCAACAUCGAUCAAAUUAAAGACAUUCAAUAAAUUAUUACUACCCUCGCAUAAAUGAAUAUAUAAAUUCCAAAUUCCAAUAUUAGAAAUAUUUAUUCGAUCGUCUGCAAAUGUAUGGCUUUAUAAAGAUGAAUCUCCUCCACCCCCUCGCUCCAUUCACUCCGGAUCUUUGGUUUUGUUGGCCAAAAAUGCUCGACCAUUCACAUUCACAUAUAUAUAUAUAAGAAAUAGCAUAUGUGGAUUUUGAGAGAAGGAGAGAAUUAUGAAGAAAUACAGCAGUAGCGUUGUAGUUAUUUUGGGAAUAAUGGUGAUGGGUUUAGUAGGUGCAGGAGGGGCGAAGAAGGUAGCAUCGAAAGAGUGCCUAGCUGGGUGCAAGCCCAUCUGUUUGAAUUUAGAGGGCGCCCUCGACACCACUUGCGACCUGGCUUGCUACCUCGGUUGCACCCAGUUAUUAGGCAAGGGCCCCCCCAAUAACCUCGAUUUCCGACACAACAAAACCAUACCAGCUCCAUCACCAGAAGCACCGCCACCCACACCAUGAUCAUUAUUUAAUAUAUCAUGUAUAGAGUAUAUAGGAUCAUUCUCUCAUCGAUCUCCAUGUAUCUAUAUAUAUAUAGAGAGAGAAGAGAAUGGAUGUAACACAACAAAUAUAUAUACCUAGCUAGCUGCAUAACAAUGUGAAGGCAACCUAGGAGUGAGGGUGCCGCAAGAGGCACUGCUUUCUGCAACGCCAGCCCGAAAGUCUCCUCCAUGUCCAUCUCCGCCGUGCCGGGCGGCAGCUCCCACCGGAAAGCGUGCACCAGACUCCCCAAUAUGUACUCCACCAUCACCAUCCCCAUCCUGCUGCCCGCGCAGAUCCUUCGCCCCGCCCCAAAUGGGAUGAGCUCGAAGUGAUUCCCCGCGGGCUCGAUCCCCGCAUUCUUCCCCGACAUAAACCUGUCGGGGUUGAAGUGGAGGGGAUCCUCCCACACGUCGGGGUCCCUCCCGAUGGCCCAUAUGUUGACGCUCAGCCUCGUGUCCUUGGGGAUGUGGUAGCCGUCCACCACGCAUGCCUCGCUGCUGAUUCGAGGCAGGUUUAGUGGAGUGGAAGGGUGUUUCCGGUAUGCCUCCUUGCAGAUGGCUUUGAGGUAUGCUAGUUUCGGAAUGUCGGAUUCCAGCAGCCGCCGCUCUCUGCCGAUCACUGCAUCCAUCUCCUCAUGGGCCCUUUUUUGGAUGCUCGGAUUCUUCAUCAUCUCUGCUAAUGCCCAUUCUACUUCGCUCGAUGAUGUGUCUGUCCCUGCAGUAAACAAGUUCUAUACCGUGCAUGCAAUUGAAUUAACCCCAUAAUUAAUUAAUUUUUAAGAUUUAUAUAAGAAUGGACGUAGCAGAAACAAACCAGUAAAAGGGCUUUGAUAUCGGUGGUGCUGAGCUUGAUCUCUUCCUCAUGAUCACCAUCACGAUUUGCCAAAAGGGAAUCAAGAAGAUCCGGCUUGGCCUUGCGCACGUGGGUUGAUUUCAAGUGCUCAUUCAACAUGUUGCCGAUCAACUUGUCCCACUUGCUGUGCAGUUUCUUCAUUCCUCUCUCAAUCCCCUGCAGAUCCAUCCAAGCAAGCCACGGAAUGAAGUCGCCGAUGUUGAAAUACCCAGCUGAGGUCAUCAGCUCCACCACCAUCUCCCUGAACUCAUUCACCUCCUUCCCUUUGCUCACGAACACCCGCCGGCUCAAUAUCACCUGCCCUAUCAUAUUCGCCAUGGCGUACACCAGCAUCUCCGGCAGCGUCACGGCCUCCCCGCGCCGGCUGACCUCGUGCAUGGCCUCCAGCAUGUGCCCCACCUCCGUGGACCUCACGUCGGCCCACCCCUCCAGCGCCUUACUCCCCAGCAUGUGGAGACUGCUCAGCUUCCUCAGCAGUCUCCACUUGGGGCCGUAGCGGGCGAACACCAUGUCCUGUCUGUUGUACGCCAGGAUGGUGGCGCCCGCGUUGGGCGGCCGGUUCGAGAAGUUGGUGUCUUGGGCUUUCAGGAAUGCCCGGGCCGAGUCAGGCGUGGAAGCCACGACCAUGCUAACGUGCCCAUUUUUAGAUACAUGAUUGGGCCAUAAAUUUUGGCCAUUUUCGCUAGGGCGACAUGCGGCAUGUCACCCAGGGAGGGAAGGGAGCCCACCACUGGAAAGCCCCUCGGCCCCGGCGGCAGACGGUGCCGGUCGAUGGUGGUGCUGCUUCUUGAGAUUAACAAACGAAUUAGAGCGUAAAGUAAUGCGGCUACAAUUACCCCCCGAGCAAUCAACAAUAUACAUUCUUCACCUUGCAUGCCUACUAUAUGUUGAAAUAUAUUUUCUAUUCCUUUGUAUAUAUGUGUUUUUAAUGCAUACAGCACACUUCUUGUUUGCAUAUUUAUAUAUAGGAGAGAGGAGCAAGAAAGUUGGGUGUCCAUUAUCAUCUAACAUGUAGUUCAUCACGUUUUAUUGCAUCCAUCGUUCAAAACGUCUACCCAGAUUUAAAUACAUAUUACUGAUUUUGGGGCGGACAGAGUUUGAUGUCAAUAAAGGCUACAUAAGGUGACCAUUUAUUUUCAAGGUGCGUCGCGUUUCCAUCGUGGUAGAAUAUGCUCGUUUUUCAUUUUUUAGAUAUCCUGUUAGAAUAGACUCACUCUUUAUUUUAAAUAAAAAAAUUAUUUAAAUGACGUGAACCACACUAUUUUUUUAUAAAAAUAACUUUUUUAAUUUUCGUGUCCAAAAUAAUUGAGUUUAUUCUAAUGGAAUGGACGAGCACUAAUUUCGACAACUUUAUUAAUGUGAGUAUCCGCCUAAUUAGGCAUAGGCUGAAGAGACCCACGAGCCCACAACUAUAUAAUUAUUAUGAAGUAGUUGCCCAAUAAUUUAUUAUAUUCACACUAAAUUAAUUUAAUAUUGUUUAAACUUUACAGAUUUAUGAAUAUUUUUCAAGAAUUUGAUACAUAGUGCCCUAAGUUUUCGUACUUAUUACCGUAUUUAAAGCGCCCGACUUAAUUAUUGUCAACAUGAACACAUAUCUUAUUUUAUCUUUAUCUUUAUUAGGAUGGACCGGUACAGUAUGUCAAAAAAAUUUAUCAUAUCGUACCGUAAAUUGCGGUAUGAGAUUUUUCAUAUCGUUACCGUACCAAACUCUUCAAUAUAUUGAAGAUUGGUAUACCAAAAAAUUCGGUAUGAACUUUUUCAUGCCGAUAUCGUACCAAUAGUGCGAUAUACCAUACCAAAAUUCGGUAUACCAUAUUUGACGGUAUAUCAAAAUUAUUAGUAUAUCGUUUCAUGUCUAAAUUAUCAAAAUUAUUAAUGAAUUUAUAUUUUGUAAGUUGGCAUUAAUUCUUUAAUAAUUAUGAUUUUUAUAUAUAUAUAAUUUAUCACUAAUUAUAUAUACAUAUAUAAUUUAUUUCAAUCAAUACGGUAUGCCGAAUCGGUAUAUACAGAAAUAAUCGGUGUAUGCCGUUUUUUCGAUAUGUACUGCGGUAUGAGGAAAAUUGAUACAGUUAUCGUACUGAAAUUUUUCGGCACGGUACUAUGCCGUAUCGAAAUUUACGGUUACCAAAAAUUCGGUAUUUUUGAUAUUUUUUCUAUACGAUAAGUGCGGUAUACCGAUUUUUCGGUAUUUUGGUCCACCCCUAAUCUUUAUCCUAUUAUAGGGCUUAUCCUACAUAGCAUUCUCAUAUUUCACUAUUUUAAAAUUCCUUAACUUUCCUUUAUUUGUAUUAUUCUGAUUGUAUAGUAUAUUUUUAAAUUAUAUAAUUUUAUUUUUUAUUUAUAUUGAAUUCAAUAAAUACAUUCAAAAGACCACCUUAAUUCAUGUGCUCACAUGUUAUUAUGUCCGUAGUCAUUUUAUUUAUCUUAAGUUAUCAUUAUAUUCUGAAUUUUAUAUUUUUUAUAUUUUUUAUUUAUAUAACGAAAGAACAAUUUUCUUAGUAAAUUUCGUUUCCUUUUAUUUCUUCUAAAACCAUGUACUAAAUCCAAUAAUUAUUCUCCAUGGUUGAACAUAAAAUAAUUACAAUAAUUAUUAUGCCCUCCGUCCCUGAAAUAGCUUCUUUUUUGGGGAUGACACAAGUUUUAAGGAAAAGUUGUAAAGUGUAUUGAUAGUGAAGAAAAAGUGUUAUAAUUAUUAUUGGAAGUUGUGAAAAAUGUGUUAUAAUUGGUAUUGAAAGUGUUGAAAAGUGAAAAGUAAGAAUAAAUAAAUAUUAUUAGUGGUGGGGUAGUUGUCCAAAAAUGGAAAGAAAGAAAGAAAGAUGAAGUUAUUUGGGGGACGUCCCAAAAAGGAAAAAGAAAAAGUUAUUUCAGAGACGGAGGGAGUAUAUAUUUAAUCUUUGCUUAUGUGGCAUUCUAGAAAUCAAGCAUUUAAAAAAAUUUCUAUUCUUCUUCAUUCUCAUUUUUUCGCAAGUCACAUUUUAUCCCACAUUGAUUUUUCCAUCAAACAUCUUGACUAAAACUUAUAUAAAAUACUUUUGUGUAGUAUCUCAUCCUUUAUAUAUUUGUAGCACCAAUUUAAUUUCAUCAAUUAACUUUUACUAGUUGGCUAAAUAAAUAGUUAUAAUUUUAUUAAAAAUUAAUUUAAUUUAUCUAAUAUUACUUUGACCAAUAAUUUAAUUUAAUAAUUAUAAACUAGCAUUUGCACCCUAUACAAUGCAUGUGAAACAUUUUAUAUUUCUAUAUUUAUAUAAAAUAGAUACCAACUCAAUUAUCAGAUUUAUAAAUAUAAUAAAAAUAAUAAUUUUAAUAAAAUAUAUUUGAACUAAAUAUUAAAAAAAAAGAAUUCACAAUAAUAAAAAUUUAAUAUGAUGAAAAGGCAAAAAAAAAUUAAAAAAUGAAAAAUAAAAAAAUUAUUUAUAUUUUUCUCAAUUCUCCUUAAUUCUUAUUUUUAUCCUUCAUUCUUAUUUUCUUCACAACUCCUAUCCAGCAUUUCCUUAUCAUCAUACUCCACCUUGAAUAAAGUUUAUAUAAAUAGUUAUGUGUAGUAUCUCAUCCUACAUAUGUUUUGGACUUUGAAUUUAAUUAUGCUAUUUACUUAAUUAGUUGACCAAAGAAAUAGUUUACUUUUCCAUCAAAAAUUUAAUUUAAUUUGACUACUAAUAAUUCAGCUAAUAACUAAGUUUGAAUUAGUUUUAAUGAUUCCAAAACCCUUAAAUUUUAAUUGUACUAGACUAUAAUUCCUUUUGAACUCAACUGUUAUAAUUCAUUUUUCUAGUGUGGACUGAAGACCAAAGCACUAAAAUCGCAAGGAUUGAAGACAAGAGUACUGAAGACCAAAGCACUGAUGUUUGAAGGACUGAAGACCAACAACUGAAAGUUGAAGAACUGAAGACUGAAUAAUGAAGGACUGAAAUUCGCCUAAAUUAAAUGCUGAAUUUAAUGAAGCAUCUGCACUGAAGUACUAGUGUUAGGGAAACACUUCAGUACACCUGAUCAGUCGAAGAGCAUUCAAUACAACUGAAGGGAAUGUUCUGAUUAGAAACCUCGGACUGAUAGUGCAGUAUGCGGACUGAAUAUGGAGUUUUGCAUAACACACUCAGUGUUUACAAAUGACAACUUCAAUGCUUCCAGUACACGCUGCAUUUAAUGCCGAGGACAGUGCAUUUAAUGUAAGGAUAUGGUGGAUCGUCCUUUAACCUGCAUAAUUUCCCUUUCCGUGUUACCAUGCACUGUAACACCAUCUCCUAGCUCUGAAAAGUCAUGCCUCUUUCAGCGUAAAGGAGAUAGAGGACGAAGACUUUAGCCAAAUUUGAAUUGACAAGUCAAACGGCAAAUAAGAUUGAAGGAUCUUCUCCAACGGAUCUAUUCAUUCUCAUUUGCCUAUAAAUAGAGCUCAAGAUUCAGCCUUCGACCUCACCGAUUUAAGAACUUACGCUGAAGCUCUGCCGAACUCAAGACUCAGCUUAUACUUAGCAAAAAUCUUUGAAUCGAAGAAGAGAAUCCAUGUUGUCAAAUAUCAAACCACCUGAUAUACAAACAUUCUCUUAUAAGCUACUAGGCAAAUAUUCAUCAUCCUUAGCCUAAUUUUGAUUAUUCGAGAGCCUGUUCUCAGUAAUCAUUAGUUGGAGAAUUGAACUCUUUUCUACCAGAGUUAGAAGAGUGUUUGAGAUAGAGAGAGUUCGAGACGUCGUUCUGAACUCAGAGAAUCUUAACCACCGCAAGCUAGAUGGUGUUGUCUCAGCAACUGUGAGUUAAGAAAUAGCGAGAAGUCCAACCCAGUGUGUUGGCUCUGAAACUUAAGUUUCAAAAGCAAGGUUUGUUGUGCACCUGUAAGCACAAGCCUAGUUGAUGAGGAGUAAUAUAUACAACUCAGAGGCUAGAGAGGCCUUCUCCACCUCUAGCUGGUCAAUCUGGGCUCGCAGCACAGCCGUAUCCGCUUCAGCCUGGCUGAAGCGUUCCACCAUGACCGUGACAUCCUGGUCGCGUUUUGCAUGCGCCUCUCUCUCAUUUUUCAGGUCCUUUUCCAGCGCAUCGUAGUCGUCGAUGAACUGGAUUGCCUCACCAACUUGAGACUCCAGCUGCCAUGAAUCAGAGGGAAAAUGUCAGAGCAGAAAGAUCAGAAAGUAAAUAACAAAAAUUGUUAAGGCAAGAAUGAAUGCAGGGUACCUGAAUCCACAACUGGCCGAGGUUGUUGGCCAGCCUCGCCCUCUUCAUCUUCUUGGUUGCUUCCCGAUCCUUGGGAUGAAUCUGGGUAAGCAACUUCCGCACAAACUCCCGCCCCUUCAUGGACGAGACUGGUUUGGAACUAGAGGCCUUUGACACCUCCGCGGUCAGGGCCAGAGGAUUGCCCUCUUCGGCAUCCACGGAGGUGGUCUCCGUUUCACCUGCCGGUUCACCCUCUUCCUCCACCAGCCUGCUCCCCUUCUGCAGGCUCUCUUCCUCUCUUCUCUGCAAGGGCCAGCAGAGCACCCUUCCUCUUCUUCUGGGCGAAUGCAGGAGUCGGAUGUCUUGGACUUGCUCGGGAGCGGGGGCAUCUUCAGAGAUGUCCACCACAGGGAUGUUACUCCCAAAAAUGGCGGAUCCUCCCUCAGCUCUGCCAGAGCCAGAGCCACCAGCCCUCUGGCUGUCUGGGCUGAACAUGGACAGAACGUCCAUGUCUUUUCCCUUGCUUGGAGGGAAGCGUUGAAUAGGGAUAACCACCCCAGCAACAUCUGACACCGUACGGGAGGUGUCCAUCCCAGAGCCAAUGGGUUGCUCUGGCGUGUCUGUCCUGGAGCUGGUGUCUCCAGAACCUUGUCCCCCGGAGCCAGAGGGACGGUUGGCCAACAGCGUGGUUCGACAUUUCUCUCUCCACGACAUGCCUGCAAAUAGACAAAGUUAUAUCAUCAGAAGUAGGGUAAUGACAAUUCAUACGCUUACUAACACAUGAUUUUACCUAUAGCUGUGCGUGGAUACAGGGGGAAUAGGUCAUUGGCUGCCAGAGCCGAGCUACUAGCAGUGAGUUCUUUGCAGGGAAAAGGUUGUCUGUCAUUGAGGGCGUUAAUGUUGGCUAACACCCCCAGAUCAUAAUCACAGGGGGUCCCUAGGGAAGAAGGCUUGUGUGUGGUUCGGACUUCGUGCCACCUCAGUUCUUGGGCACCAUAUUGGCGCCAAGUACCCUCGGAGGUCACCACAAAACAGUAAUAUGACAAGAAGCCUUUGUCAUAUGAAUUGAGGGAGUUGAGGAAAGUGGUGGGAUAGGUUUUACGGGCAGCAAAGCUGUAUAGAGGACCACCCUGCAGUCUCAAAGAUUGGGUUUGAAGGAAUAAUUUCUAGGUGUCUUCGACACCAUGGGCUCUGCAUAGUAUGUGAAAACAAAAUAACCUCCGAAUGGCGGAGGGAGUUAUUUGGUAGAAGGGGAUGCGGAAAUGGUUACAAACCUCCACUAGAAGUGGAAGAGGAGGAAGCCUUAGGCCAGCAUCAAUCUGGGCUCGCCAGAUGGCCGCAGUAUUCAUCUACAUUUUGCGAGGGGCUCUAGGGAUUUGGACUGGAGUUCAAAUCUCAGGCCGGCGGGGUUCCUACAUUUUUCGAACAUCCGGUGUAGGUCCGCGAUGCUUAGCCUAGAGUCGGGAACAUGUUUAAGCAUUUUGGGCGUAGAAGAAGGAGAUGCAGGAGAGGCCGGGGGGUCCUAGGGAUUCGGAAGGGUGGAAGGAGUUGGAAGGUCUGGAGGAUUCUGGGGGUAGGGAGAAGAAGGCAGAGAAGCCGGAGGAGAGGGAGAAGGAGAAGGGAAAAAAGCAGGUUUGGCGGCGGAGGUGGAAGCCAUGGACGGAAAAAUCUAGGGUUUACACGCUCAAUCAGAGCACCAACAGAUUUAAUAGGAUUAAUCUACACCGAAUAAAAGUACCAGGGGAGGGAGAUACGCGAUUUACCUAGGUAAAAUUCUCCUUAAAGUCUGCGGAGGGGACUGGAGAGGGAAAGUCGCGGGGAAUACGCCGGAGUUGAAGAUGGAGGAUCGUCGGAAAUCGAGAGAACAGUCGAAAGGGUUCGAAGUGAAAAUGAAGAAGAUGAAAAGUGAAAGUUUGAAACUUCUAAGUAUAACCUACGCGGGCAACAGCAGAAUAGCGGGAUGAGCGACACGUGGCACCAGGGAGAGGAUCGACGGCUGAGGAUUUCUACGGGAACACAAAAAAACGGAAGGUCUGAAAAAGUAACCUCGAGAUGCAGAAAAGUAUACUACGAAAGGGCGGGCAUUUAAUGCAAGUGACGUCAGCAUUGCGGGCGAACACACUGACUAGUUACUUCAUCAGCAACUAGCCAGACCAGAGGGGGGAGUAGCUGAUGAGGAGUAAUAUAUGCAGAGCAGAGGAAUGAAUGCAGACAGAGGAAUUACUAGGGUCAGAGGAAUGGACUUCGCCAGAGGAAUGAACUCGAACAGAGAAAUCACUAGGGUCAGAGGAAUGGACUUCGCCAGACGAAUGGAUUCCGCCAGACGAAUGGGCUCAGUCGGAGGAAUCAUCAAAGAUAGAGAAUGACCUAUCCGCAAGAUAGGCAGCGGUAUGAGCGACCGUUUUAUCCGGGAAGCGCCAGAGCAGAGGAAUCGCUCGGCUGCGGGCAAAAUUACUACUAUGCCCCUGACCACGCGGGGAGCAUGUUUUUAGAGAUGAAAUUACUAUUUUACCCUUUUAUUGUACUCUAUAAAUACCCCAUGCAUUCCCCUUGAGAAAACUACGCGCUCUUCACUAAUACAAAACAAACUUAUUCUCUCAGCAAUUCAGCUAUUCUCUCAGUUCUUACGUCAAACACUAGGUAAAACUCGUAACUUAGAAUUAGGUGUUGAUAAGAUACAUUAUCACUAGUGAUUCGUCAGUGUGAUCGACUGACCGUAGACGUAGGAAUUCUUUUCUGAACCACGUAAAAACUCUUUGUGUUCUUUCUUGAUUUCAAUAUUUACAUUUUCCUUAUCUGUGCACGUACCAUUAUUCAUACUGGAGUUAUUAAAGAGAAAAGAGAAACCUAAAUAUUGACAAAGUGUUUCACUUAAAGGCUAUUUCUAAAAUCGUUUCCUUACAAGUGUUAUCAGUCUAACUAACAAAUCUUCGGAUAGUUAGUAAGAUUUCUAACACUCUUCUAUUCUUUUAAAAUUGAUUAGACUGAAGCCUUACUUGAACUAUCAGUGAGUCGACAAGUUCUUCGCACUGAACUUAACCUACUGAACCAAUAUCAUAUCAGUCUACACCCAUCCUCAACUGAUCUUACCUUUCACUGAUCUUAUCGGUCAACUCACAUCAGUAUAUGUUUAGAUAUUCACACCAGUUUACAAAAAGAUUUCAAGUUUUAAUUUAAAAAUAGCCUACUGCUGAAAUAGAAAUUUUAUUAAAAAGAAAAAAGAGAGAAAAAGGCCCUAAAAACCACUGAGAGCAUAGACGCUAACAAGGAUCGGAACACAAAAGAUCCGACUAAAAGCAAAACAAAAACCGCGUAUAAACCCCCGCAAAGGACCACGAGAAGACGAAAACAAAAGAAACGAAAGCUAAGAUGAAAAAUUAAAAAAAACGUACCUACAUCCCCAGCAUCUUCGUCGUCCAACAUAUCACCCCAUUUCUUCUUUUUGGCCACCGCCGACAUAGAUCGGGCAGCGUCGGAAGAUGAGUGAAUCACAAAGUUUUGCAGAAUCGCUCCUCCAGAUUGAGCAUGCUGUACUUUAUUCAAGAACUCCACCGACACCGGAGUGUCAAGAACGCCCCCCCUGCAAAACGGCACCAGUAGCCCGACCUGCUGCUUUUUGGAAAUCCGAAGACAUACCAUUCUUGAUAAUACGCCAGAGUCGAUGCUUGAUAGAGGAAUCAGGAACCUUCUUCUUCUUGUUAGCCCCCUUCGGUCGCCCUUGGCCGCAAGUUAUGGGGGGAUCCGCCAGCAUCUCCUUCUCUGGCGUCACAACCAAAUCCAGAUCAAGACUUCUACAACUCAUUGGGACGGGAGAAAUCAAGUCCGAAACUGAAUCAAUCUUCUGAGGAAGCAUCUCAUUUGAUGGCAAAGAGCCCGUAAAUUUAUGUUUUUUUUUAAUUGUUUCCACUAAUUUGGAUAUUCAUCUAAAAAUAAUUCUAGAUUUGUUUCCACUAAUUUAGAUAUUCUCCCAAAAUAAUACUACUAGAUUUGUUUCCACUAAUUUAGAGAUUUUCAUUCUCCAAUAAAUAAUCUUUGAUUUGAUUCCACUAAUUUAGAAAUUCUCCUAAAAUAAUCCUAGAUUUAAUUUCACAUUUAUUUUAUUUUUUUAUUAUUAUUUCUUAUUUUGUUAAUUUUAUGUUAAUUUCAUUUGUUUCUACUAAUUUAGAGAUUCCAUUCAAAAUAACCCUAGAUUUUAGGGCUGGGAAUCGGGUCGGGUUCGGGUACCCUACCCGAAAAAAUCGGGUACCCGAACCCGAAAAUACCCUAAAUCCACUACCCGACCCCAACCCCGAAUUUGAAAUCGGGUACCCGAAUACCCGACUCGGAUUCGGGUACCCGAAAUUACCCGGUCAAUUUUGGGGGAGGGGCCGAGAGGGAUUUCGGGUGGGGGAGGGGGAAGGUCCGAGACUGGAGGUGGACGGCCGGACCGGUGGGAAAGCGGCUCAAUCACAGCAGAUGGGGGAAGAGAGGACUCCGAUCUGGAGAGGUGGAGAGGUCAGAGCGGCGCCGCGCUGGGUGUUGGGCCGAAAUGGAAGAGAGGACUCCGAUCUGGAGAGGUGGAGACGUCAGAGCGGCGGAUCUGGGCGGAGAUGGCAGAUGGCACCUGGGCGCAGUGCGCGGAUCGAGGAGGGGCUCGGCGCGG
rnacentral:lncRNA from 1 species